rnacentral:lncRNA from 1 species
CGGUGGAUCCCCUACCAACUGCAGCUUGGCUGCGGCUGUGAGGAUGAGGGCAGGGCUGAGCCCACCGUGGAGGAAGUACAGUGUCACAUGGCAGGCUGGGAGGGGCCUCUGCCAACUCCCUGUCCCUCAACUCCCACCACCAAGCCCAGGCCACGAAGACACCGUCCUGGGCACUGCCAGCAGCUUUAUUAGAGAGCCCUGUCCCCUGAUUAAAAGUGGACACGUGCCCACGGGGGUCUCCUCCUUCCCGGUGAGGGGCUCAGCUGGGGUGCCCCUGUGGCACCACUCACAGGCCAGGAGCCAGGGAAGUUCUGGGGAAGCACUUUCCCAGAAACCCACCCCAGACCCCAAGGUAGCUCAGGGCUUCUCAGAGGCAGGCCCAGAUCCGGUCCCACCGCAGGGACCAACCAUGGGCCCCGCCUGCCUGAGGCCUGCAGCGGGCCAAGCCGGCUGGCAUGGGCUGGCCUAUUCUGUUGGGUGGGUUCUUGGCCCACCAGAGCUGGACAGGCAGGUGAUCAAGCCACGUUGGGUGUGCUGGGGGCCUCCGUGGGCACUCACUGGGGCUCUGGCCAGAAGACCUGCAUGACGCUCUGCUUCCUGGAGGCGGUGUGGCAGGCUUGGCAGCGCUGGAAGUCACAGGCAGGGCACUGGAAGGGCACCACGUCCUCUGCCCCACAGCCCUGGCACACACAGCCUGCUGAGAGGGGCCCGCCCGGAGCUCCCGUGGCCUGCUGCCCAGCGAUGUCUCUCCCAUGAGGCUCACCCCACUCAGAUGCUGCAGGCCCGUGGGGAGGUCCUGAGGACUGGCUGGGACCUGCAUCCUCACCGCCCGCCCCCACAGUCCCUGCUGGCCUCUGUCUAAGGAAGGACGAGAUCUUGCUCUGGGUCUUCCCGGUCUUCUCGG